GACGAACGUUGGCGGCGUGCUUAAUACAUGCAAGUCAACUGAAGCAGUGGUAGCAAUAUCGCUGUGGAGGUGGCGCACGGGUGAGUAACACGUAGGUAAUCUGCCUUCAGGUCUGGCAUAACUCCGGGAAACCGGGGCUAAUAGCAGAUGAUGCAGCGGCUCGACAUCGAGACAGUUGUUAAAGCUAUGGCGCCUGAAGAUGAGCCUGCGUCUGAUUAGCUAGUUGGCGGGGUAACGGCCCGCCAAGGCAACGAUCAGUAGCUGGUCUGAGAGGAUGAUCAGCCACACUGGAACUGAGACACGGUCCAGACUCCUACGGGAGGCAGCAGUAAGGAAUAUUGCUCAAUGGGAGAAAUCCUGAAGCAGCAACGCCGCGUGAGGGACGAAGGGCUUUUGCUUGUAAACCUCUGUAGUGAGAGAAAAAAAUCCCAAUCUUUGGGACAUGAUGGUAUCUCAAAAGUAAGCCCCGGCUAACUACGUG
rnacentral:rRNA from 1 species